rnacentral:rRNA from 1 species
UACGUAGGGGGCAAGCGUUGUCCGGAUUUACUGGGCGUAAAGGGCGCGUAGGCGGGAUGGCAAGUCGGUCGUGAAAUCCCUCGGCUCAACCGAGGAACGUCGAUCGAUACUGCUGUUCUUGAGGAUUGCAGAGGAGACUGGAAUUCCCGGUGUAGCGGUGAAAUGUGUAGAGAUCGGGAGGAACACCGGUGGCGAAGGCGGGUCUCUGGGCAAUUCCUGACGCUGAGGCGCGAAAGCGUGGGGAGCAAACGGG